rnacentral:rRNA from 1 species
UCGCGCCCCCGGCCCUUCCCCACACACCCCCUGUUUACCUUACCUCUGUUGCUUUGGCAGGGCUCCCGCCCGGGUGGUUCCGGGCGCGCCCUGCCAGAGGGCCCUAACUCGUGGAUAGUCAAUGUCUGUCUGAGUACGAUAUAAUCGUUUACAACUUUUAACAAUGGAUCUCUUGGCUCUGGCAUCGAUGAAGAACGCAGCGAAACGCGAUAUGUAAUGUGAAUUGCAGACUUUAGUGAAUCAUCGAAUCUUUGAACGCACAUUGCGCCCCGUGGUAUUCCGCGGGGCAUACCUGUUCGAGCGUCAUUACAACCUCUCCAGCCCUGCUGGGUCUUGGGGCUCGCCGUCCUGGCGUCCCUUAAAACUAGAUGCGGCGCCGCGUGGCUCUAAGCGUAGUACUUUCCUCGCUUCUGGGUCCGCUGUGGUGCCUGCUACACAACCCCAUCUUUCUAUGGUUGACCUCGAAUCAGGUAGGGAUACCCGCUGAACUUAAGCAUAUCAA